rnacentral:rRNA from 1 species
ACGUUGCGGCGCGCUUACACAUGCAAGUCGAACGAGAAAGAGUGCCUUCGGGUACUCCGGUAAAGUGGCGCACGGGUGAGUAACACGUGGAUAAUCUACCUUUGGGUGGAGGAUAACGUCCCGAAAGGGGCGCUAAUACUGCAUAAGACCACGUCCUGAAAUGGAUGAGGUCAAAGCCGGCCUCUAUAUAUAAGCUGGCGCCUAAAGAUGAGUCCGCGGCCCAUCAGGUUGAUGGUAGGGUAAUGGCCUACCAUGCCUAAGACGGGUAGCUGGUCUGAGAGGAUGAUCAGCCACACUGGAACUGAGACACGGUCCAGACUCCUACGGGAGGCAGCAGUGGGGAAUCUUGCGCAAUGGGCGAAAGCCUGACGCAGCGACGCCGCGUGAGUGAUGAAGGCCUUAGGGUUGUAAAGCUCUGUGGAGAGGGACGAAUAAGCUACGGUUAAUACCCGUAGUGAUGACGGUACCUUUUUAGCAAGCACCGGCUAACUCUGUGCCAGCAGCCGCGGUAAGACAGAGGGUGCAAACGUUGUUCGGAAUUACUGGGCGUAAAGCGCGUGUAGGCUGUUUUGCAAGUCGGGUGUGAAAGCCCAGGGCUCAACCUUGGAAGUGCACUCGAAACUGCAAGACUAGAAUCUCGGAGAGGGUAGCGGAAUUCUGG